GUCUCAACGUUGUUUAGGAUUUUGGUAGAAAAAGAGAAAUAAAAAGUAAUUCAGAGUAGGACAUCAUCAUUUGUUGCAGGUGGUACUGUAUUCAAAAUUUGACCUCACUUUGAAAGAAGGGGAAUGGUGAACCAAAGACAUUUAGUGGACCAGUGAGAGCCGAUGCCAUCAGCUCACUUCCCACACCUGUUGUCCAAUCCGAGGGGAUGUCGAAAGUUUGUGGGAAAUGCAACAUCAAACCAAAAUGGAGGCACCCAGGCUAAUGCUCCACAUCACCACGCCAAAACUACGCACGCAGCUUGCCUGACCUGAGAAAUCAGGAGACGCAGAGAGAGGUCAUAGCCAAGUCCUCAAAACAGACCAUGUUCAGCCAGCAUGAUCGGGACGUACUCUCUGCUUAGCCUUGACAAGGAGAGUAGCCUUGAAAUGAUGAAUUGCCUUUUAGCUCUUUGUUCCUGCUUUCCUGUCUAUAAACACCGCCUGUGUCGUAGAGCAGAGCUCUCUGAACCUCUUCUGGUUCUGAGGAUUGCUCCAUUCAUGAACCGUUCUUUGCUGGAAUAAACCCUGUCAACUUGAAUUUUACUAACAUUUUCCUUUCAUCGAGCACAGAGAAGCACUGGGGCAUCCUCA